AUGCUUACCAUAAAUGGCCCGAUCUUGCUCGCCCCCAGCCGCCCAAGAUAUCAAGGGCGCCGCCCGCCGUCCUCAAAAACCAAGCGCCGCUGGCUGUCCGAGAAAUCAAGCCCCGCCGGCUGUCCCAGAAAUCAAGCGCCGCCGGCCGUCCCAGAAAAUCAAGCGUUGCCGGCUGCUCGGAAGAGGUCAAUGGAGGAAGAAGAGGUCGACUGGAAAACAGAAGAUGGACCUUGCUGCUCCCUGGCGGCUUCAAUGGUCCAUCCUCGCUGGUCCCGGCGACUGGUGUGGCCGUUCCCCGCGACUGGCAUGGCGUGGUCGUUCGCGGCGGCUGGAACAGGAGGAGAGGACCGAGGGGAGGCGGCGGCGCUGGACUCGAAGGGGGGUCAAGGGGAGGCGGCGGCGCUGGACUCGAAGGGGGGUCAAGGGGAGGCGGCGGCGCUCAACUCGAAGGGGGGUUUGUUAGAGUUUGAGUAG
rnacentral:rRNA from 1 species